rnacentral:lncRNA from 1 species
UGAUCAUUCUGCAUUAGUUUGUUUUCUUUAUUAUAAAUCAUCACCUUUUACUAACGAGAAAGAGGAAUUCUUACAAUCUGGUAGUUAAAUGGGAGAGAAUGCUGUUGCUCAAUCACAAUGCAAUUUAAUUUGAAAAUUACAGUUUUAAAACUACAAACUAGAUUCUUUCCCUAAAUCUGUAUCAAAGGCUGUAUACAUUAUGAAGAGCAUCAUAUAUCCUAAGAUACUCAGUUUUUAAACCUUUUGCAAUUCAUUUGGGGUGUGUCCCCAAAGAGCUCUUCUCUUAAUGGCUUCUUACU